GCUAUGCCAAAUAGCAUCAGCGAACUUUAUGCGCCGCCACGGGAGGUACGGGUUUUAGCCGUUCGUAGAGACGGCUGAACGGAUAAUACCCCUACAUAAAAUCGUCUUGAACCAGUUAGCAAUUACUAAGAAGCGUACAAAGAGGAAGCAAAAAAUUUAGAGAAAGUGAUUUGAUAUUUAGUGAUUUUAUAUAGCUAAUUUUACGGACAUUUGUGGAUAUCAUAGGACACAAAACUUAAUCUGGAAAGUACCAGGUUGGAUAUAUUUGUUUCUUUGGUGUGAUUACCACCGAUUGUUUAAAAACUUUGUUUUCUUUAUCUGUUUAUAGGCCUAUCGCCGACUGUCACCGAGUCAAAACGGGAAUAUGGCAUUGAGUCGUAUUCAAACUGGAAUACGUGUGGCUGUUUUAAGUCAUAGUUUUAUUCGUCGGCUGCAUGAAGACUUUAAACAAAAUUCAUAUCCCUCAAACUACGAUUUGGAAGAGUGUUCCGUGGUCCACUUUGGGAUAGGUGGCUUUAAAGUAUGUGAUGGUGAUGCAGUUACGUAUUUCAGCUCAAAAUUUGGGGAUUUUCUGAGACAAGUUGAGCCAAACAUCGUACUUCUUCAAUUAGGAAGUAACGACGUCGAUUCAGUAAAAUCUUCUCUGGACAUUGCCAAUAGAAUUGAAGAAAUAACAGCUCUAAUUAUUCAGGAGUAUGCUGUAGAGAAAGUUGUAGUGUGCGAAAUAUUCACCCGUGCUCGACCAACGAAAGUUACGUCAGAUUUAUUUGAACACAAACGCUUGCACUCAGUAUCAAUCCUGCAAACUCUUUUGGAUAUGCAUGAUAAAGCAAGAUUCUGGAAGCACAGAAGGCUGUUUUACUCACAGACUCCCAUAUUCCGGAAAGAUGGAAUCCACCUUAACCACAAUGGACAGCGACGCUUUUACAGGUCCUUGAGACAUGCCAUCAUGUCAGCUGUUAGAUCGGUAAUCAAGGAUCGGUCGUAGGGGAGUAUUGUUAUUUUUUAUUUUUAUUGGUAUAUUAGUUCAUCAUAAAACCUGUCUGUUGAUAAGAAGUGUGGAAGGGAAUAAAGCCAGUAUAAAUAAUAUGAUAUCAUAGAAUAUAAUAUUAUAGCUUGAGAGUCACUAUAUUCAUAAUAUUAUUUAUGUUAUCAUGAAGAUAAUAAUUACGGUAUAGUCUUUACAGAGACAAUUAACUUAAUUAUUGUUGUCUGAGAGCCAUUGGGCUAUAGCAGAAAUUUUAUAAAUUUUUAUAAGCCAUAAAUAGUCUUAAGCAAAAUUUAAAAAAAAAAAAAAAAAAAAAAAAAAACCUCAAAAGUGAAAUAUAAACAGACAAUGAUCACAAUCACUUAAUGUCUACCAUUAGAAUGUUCAAUUGUUUGGAACACUUUCUGUGCAUAUCACAUUAAGCACAGAUCUUUAACUUUAUUCAAAUUAUUAUGUUUGUUUUCUUUGAGCCAUUGUGCUUUAGCACAGCCAUAUUUUCUGUGAGCCAUUUAGCAUUAGCACAGGUUUUUAUAUUUUCUGCGAGUCCUUAGGGCUUUAGCGCAGGCUUAAAUAACAUGUUUUCUGUGAGCCAUUGAGCUUUAGCACAGGUGUGUAUAUUUCCUGCGAGUCCUUAGGGCUUUAGCGCAGGCUUAAACAACAUGUUUUUCUGUGAGCUAUUGAGCUUUAGCACAGGUUCUUAUAUUUUCUGCGAGUCCUUAGGGCUUUAGCGCAGGCUUAAAUAACUUGUUUUUCUGUGAGCCAUUGGGCUUUAGCACAGGUUUUUAUUUUUCUGCGAGUCAUUGAGGGCUUUAGCGCAGGUUUUUAUUUUUCUGUGAGCUUUUGAGCUUUAGCACAGGUUUUUAUUUUUCUGCGAGUCAUUGAGGGCUUUUAGCGCAGGUUUUUAUUUUUCUGUGAGCUUUUGAGCUUUAGCACAGGUUUUUAUUUUUCUGCGAGUCAUUGAGGGCUUUAGCGCAGGUUUUUAUUUUUCUGUGAGCUUUUGAGCUUUAGCACAGGUUUUUAUUUUUCUGCGAGUCAUUGAGGGCUUUAGCGCAGGUUUUUAUUUUUACUGUGAGCUUUUGAGCUUUAGCACAGGUUUUUAUUUUUCUGCGAGUCAUUGAGGGCUUUAGCGCAGGUUUUUAUUUUUCUGUGAGCUUUUGAGCUUUAGCACAGGUUUUUAUUUUUCUGCGAGUCUUUGAGGGCUUUAGCGCAGGUUUUUAUUUUUCUGUGAGCUUUUGAGCUUUAGCACAGGUUUUUAUUUUUCUGCGAGUCUUUAGGGCUUUAGCGCAGGUUUUUAUUUUUCUGUGAGCUUUUGAGCUUUAGCACAGGUUUUAUUUUUCUGUGAGCUUUUGAGCUUUAGUUAUUUAAUGACUGGACCGCCAUAAAUUUAUGUUUACUUACUUAAUGUGUGAAUAUAUCUUUUUAAAUAGCAUAAGCACUUAGGUUAUGAAAGAGGAAGAUAGAGAAAUUGUCUGUCUGGCAGUAAUUUGUCAUGGUCAUUAAUGCCAAUUGCAAGAUGCCUUGGAAGUAAGUUAGGAUCAUAAAACUUUGUUCAUGCUUAAUUUAGUACCCCUGCAGAGAUAUCGGUAUCAUCAAACAGGAUAAUAGUAACAUUGAACUGUGAAUUCUUUGAUGUAGGCAUUGAUAUACAUUCUCAUCCCUAAGAUGUCCAUGCUUUAUUGUAUUGCUAGCUAAUUACUUUAUCAGUAUGGUUAAGCAAAUGGAAGUAGAAUGAUCAUAAACAAUAAAAGAUAAAAAUAAAUAAUAAUGAUAAUAAACAUUUAAAUACAAAAGUAAAUAAAUAAAAAAUGAAUACAUAUUUAACAAGUGAACAAAGUAUUAAAACUUAAUACAUAUCUAUAUAUGUAUAUAUUUUGUUAUAUAAGUAAAUAAUAAAUAAAAAAAAAUAAUAUAUAUAUAUAUAUAAUAGUAAUAGAUAAAAAAAAAAUACACACAUAUAUAUUUAUUUAUUUUUAUAAGAAUCAUAAAAAUGUUAUUAAUUAAUAAUAGCCAGAAUUUUAAUGGGUGGUAUCUCUUAUAUGGCAACAUGAAAUUAAAAUGAUUAAAAACAUAAGCAUAUAUUAAUAACGAAUUAAAUAAAUUAUGGAUUUAUUCUUAUUAAGAAUUUAAAGUGUUACUAUUUUUAAUUUAAAUAUUUGCGGCAAAGGCCAUGCCUCCAUUGUCAUGUACCAGAUUAUAUUAAUCUGGUACUAUUAUAAUAGUAGUCAGUUCCUAAUGAAUUGAUAUUUAAUGUUUCAGCGGCAAAGGCCAUUCCUCCAUGUCAUGUACCAGAUUAUUAUAUUAAUCUGGUACUAUUAUAAUAGUAGUCAGUGUUUUUGAUUUUGUUAUGAAUAACAAAACCUUAAAUAAAUAAAAUAUGGCAGUUUUAUUAUAAUUAUUAUUAUUUUAUUUUCGUAUCGACUGACCGUUAUACUUCAAUACAAUUACUACCGACAUACAUAUCCGCUAUGUAAAACAACAGUUAAGGGAAUAUACCUUUGAAAAUGAAUUUGUUUUUGUUUGAAAAACAAGGUACUUGUUCUCUCUCAUUUAUUUUACAGGAGCGCCUUGAAGAGAAUCUACAAACUUUGCUUACAGCUACUAGUAAAUACAAAAUUACGGAAGUACCAGUGUACGAGAUUAUACCACAAAAACAUUAAAGAAGGACAUCCACAUACAGGAAAUAAUUAGUUGUUAUAAAGGAAAUAAAACCUAAACAUGACCACAAACAAUCUGACGGAUGGAAACACUUAGAUGACCGUUCUUACAUUCCAGUAUUUGGAAAAAAAAAUAAAAAAUAAAAAAAAAAAACAAAUAACGAUUUCUUCAAAAAUAAAACUGCUGCAAAAACAAACCGACUCCAAAUAUUUCAAUUUCUUAACAUUUCUUGAGUGUGAACCAUUUCAUAUUUCUUUCAUAUAAGUACAUGAUAAAAUACAUGAGGCACCUUGAGAAGUUUGACAAUUUUACAUAUCAUGUAUACAAUAUCAUUGGUGAGACUUUCUGGAUUACAACUUUAAGACUCUGACACCUGAUCUGUGAUAUCUUGUGAACUUUACCCACUGCUACCAUAUUGGGGUGUAUGGUAAUAAGUAGACAAUUCAUUUAGACAUACAUUUAAAAGACGAAAGAGUAUUAAUAACACACCUUUUUUAUACUGACAAACUCACUUUUUACAGUGACUGAUUGUUAUAAUAACAUAAUAACAAUUUAGUUAAAUUUCAACAAAUGAAUUUUUUUGGUAAUAUUAAUUAUUUGUUGGAAGUUCUCGUUGCGAUAUCGGCUACAAGUUACAUGCAAGUCUGAUAAUUUACAUAAUUUAGCAUAUACCAUUGCCUGCAAUGCAGAAAUGAUAAUCAUUACAAUAUUACAUAACACUGCUGAUAGUACUAUUGAACACAUGCAAUGUUAGUUGAUGGGUAAUCAAUAUCACUGUAGUGUGGCGUAGUUUAAGUACCUGUGUUAAUUAAUACCACAUGUAACAAAUCGUAUGGGUGAUUUUAUAGGCAUUUAAUAGGUCCAUUUGUUAGACUUAUCAAUCUGAAACUUUCUUCUGAAGCAUUUAAAGAAUUAUAUUCAUUUAGUUCAUUACAACUGAAUUUAUAAGAUGGUAACGAUUAUGAAAAAUUACAAUCCUAGCGUGUGUUUAUUAUUAACGUCGAAAGUGUUAUUUACAUUAUAUGUUAUUCAUUUUAUCACGAGUUUCUUUAUAAAUUUUAGAAAUACUAUACAUUGUUAUUUUAACACAUAUUUGUUGAUAAAUAAAUGUGUUGUUUUAUUUACGACACCAUUUAAACAUAUUGUGAUGUAUUCUAAGUAUAUUAGCAAUAAUAUGCGUUAUUGACGUUAAAACAUUCCCUAAAUUGACUACGUAUGUAACACAGUGAUAUUGUGUCUAUAACACAUUUCUAAUUUGCAGCAUCAUUGUGUAUGUUAAAUAUGAGAUGCUAGAAUGAAAGAUAUAACUUUUUGGUUGAAAUUGAUUUAAUUUGACAACAUUGUCAAGAUUUAUACAUUAACGAUUUACAAGUUAAUAGAUUUUAAUCUAAUAGAGUGAAUAUAUGAGUAUUAAGAUAAUCCCAGUUUACGACACUAGUUUAACAUAUGGGGGUGUAUAUUAACUACAUGCAUGUGUUGUUUAAAUAUUAAUUAUAAUGUAUACAUUAAUUAUAAAAUUAUAUUGUAUUUUAUUUUCAAACUAUGCAUCCUGUACCUAAUAAAUAUGUUGUUAUGAGACAGUACUUGUUUAGAUAUUAGUUUAACAUAUUGGGGUGUAUGUUAAAUAUGUAGUGUUUAAAUGUUAAUUUUAACUUGUAAAUUGAAUUAACAAUUACCUAAAGUUUGUAUGUUCUUUUCGAACUAUGCAUUCACUUAAGGAAUAAAAUGUCUUAAUAAAUUAAAUCACAGUUAGACUAGUUUAACAUAUUGAAGUAUAUGUUAACUAUGUAUUGCUUAAAUGUUAAUUAUAGCUUAUAUAUUGAAUUUAAUUUAUCAGUUUAACAAAUCAAAAUGUUUUUGUAGUUUAACGCACAAGAGUGAUAAUAAACUAUGUAUAAAUAACACGUUAAUCCUAACUUUAUUUUGAACUUCAUGUUUACUUAAGAACAGUUUGUGAUAAAUAUACAUUGAUAAGAUGAGAUAAGAUAAGAUAAGAUCUGUUUAUAGUGACUCUAAUUUUAACAUUCUUGGUUUUUCAAGAACAAUACUAAUAGUGAUAGUAAGUGUAUUUUUAUAUGUAUAUACUUUUAUAUGUAGACAACAAGAUUUUUCAUAAUUAUCUAUAUUUUUGUCUGUAAAUUGUAAAGUAAUCUUUAUGUCACAAUUCGUUUUAUUAGUAACCAUCACCAAUUUCUUUAAGAUAUGUAUUUCAAGCUUAUACUGUAACGUUAAUUAAUCUGUUCUAUAUGUCUAGAAUUUACAACUGAUUAUUUUAUAUGUCUGAAAUAUAUACAACUGUAUAUUUCUUUGAUCUUAUGACAGCACAAUAACAGCAGGAGGCGCGCAAAUCGUACACUUUUGGACUUUUACCUAUAUAAGUUUCCUUUUGUUUUUGUUUUACUUUCUAAUUUUGCAUAUUAUCAUUUUGUACUCAAAAUGCAUUAACUUAACUUUUAUGUUUAGCAGCCUACUUACUUGAAGUAAAGGGUUUGUAAAAUAUUUUUCAAGGAUGUAGCCCUACAUCAAGUGGUACUAGACACAAGAUAAAAGGGCACAGGUUUCCAGACUAUGGUUUUUCCUGGGCGAGUCGACCACGAUUUGAAAAAUAUUUAUGAUCAGUAGUUUAUAUGAUAUAUACAAUAUCUUUAUAUACAAUAUUAUAUAUACAAUAUCUAUAUUUUUACAUACAUGUGUAAAUGUGGGUGUUUUUGUUGUCCAACUUUGUGUCAUUUUUAUAAAGUUUGUUACAAUUGUUGGUUUUUGUUGUUCAACUUUGUGUCAUCUAUUAUAAUGUUUACUACAAUUGUUUUCUAUAUAAAAGCGUAUUUGGAGUUUAUUGGUUAAUCUUUUGAUUAUAUCAUAAUCUAUUAUUAGACAAUAAAGACGGCCGGUAUCAUGCUGAACAUUGUUUAUAAUGAUGCAAAGACUUUAUUGUUAACUAAUUUUAAGACUUUUAGUUGCUGGUGUAAUCUGGACCAAUUCAUUAUUAAAAUUGUUAAUAUUUUUGUUGCAUAUCGAUCUAGGCAGUCAACACAAAAUGUCAACAUUUUAAUUUGUACAUAAUGAACAUCACUUGCUUGGGCUGGUGACAAUAGUUAUAACAUUGUGUGUAUAUGUAUUCGGGUCACUUGCUGGGGCUUGUGACAAAUGAUAUGUUUGAUUAUUAUUUCAUUAAAUAUCAUAGGUUGGUUAGCUUCAGUUAAAAAUAAAAAUAAAAAAAAAAUAAUACCAUUAACCAAUUUUUAUACCUUCGGGAAUUCUCUGUUAAAUAAGCCCUUUAUUGGUUAAAGUUUCAAGAUCAUUAACCUUGGUCUUCUCUCCUAUGCAGUGAAAUGUGGGGAAAAGCUAGUCUAAUUCUAGCUUUUAUGGCGUUUUUCUUACGAAACCCUCACAUUUCUUACUAUUAUAGUAGAACUCGAUUAAUUAUUAUUCCUACAUGUGUAUUUUCUAUAUUGUAUUAAUUUGCAUAAUAUUGAUGUAUGUACUAUUCUUUGCACAUGUUUAAGUAUUGUUGGUUAAAACAAUAAACAGAGGCCAUACCUUAUAGUAUGGUAUGGCCAUUAAACACAAUUUGAUAGUUUGUUAUUCCUCGCGUGGCGGUUCAUAAAUAUAAGCUAUGCCAAAUAGCAUCAGCGAACUUUAUGCGCCGCCACGGGAGGUACGGGUUUUAGCCGUUCGUAGAGACGGCUGAACGGAUAAUACCCCUACAUAAAAUCGUCUUGAACCAGUUAGCAAUUACUAAGAAGCGUACAAAGAGGAAGCAAAAAAUUUACCCUCCUCCACCCCCUUCACCACAACAAAAUUUUAAGGGUCUCAUUGUAACCCACAUAUUUCAGUGAUUGUAAGAAAGAUAGGCAGUAUUUAUUUUUUUUUUAUACAUGCAAUACUUUCUGUAACACUUGUAAUGUUAAUGAUUAUGUAAGGGGGUGUUUUUCUUAUGAACCCUUCGCAUCUCUUACUAUUAUAGUAGAAUUCGAUUUAUUAUUAAUUCUACAUGUGUAUUUUCUAUAUUGUAUUAAUUUGCAUAAUAUUGAUGUAUGUCCUAUUCUUUGCACAGUUUCAGUGCGUUUUUCUUACGAAACCCUCACAUUUCUUACUAUUAUAGUAGAACUCGAUUAAUUAUUAUUCCUACAUGUGUAUUUUCUAUAUUGUAUUAAUUUGCAUAAUAUUGAUGUAUGUACUAUUCUUUGCACAUGUUUAAGUAUUGUUGGUUAAAACAAUAAACAGAGGCCAUACCUUAUAGUAUGGUAUGGCCAUUAAACACAA